rnacentral:other from 1 species
GGCCUCUUACAGCUAUUAAAAUUACUAGUAAUUAAUAAUAAGUGGUGACCCACUAUUCUCGAAGAAGAAACCCCCCCCCCCUGAGGCCUG